rnacentral:lncRNA from 1 species
CUACAAGAGUAAUGUGUGCGCUACAGAGAUAACUGCCAUUGUCCAUUGGGGCUCUGUAUUGAGCCCCAAUGGCGUUGCUGGGGUGAAGGCAGACCUGGGUUCAAACACUAUUUGAAAUCUUUUCAAAAUACUUGUUUUUUUUGUGUGUUGCUUUUGCCUACUUGGAGUGCCAGGUGAACAGGGGUUUGCACUUUUGCAACUUCUACUAUUGGUUCCACGGUGGCAGGCAAGCUCAAUCAAGCCCAGCUGAAGUAUUUGAAAUUAUUUCUGGGAGAAGGACGUCUGCAUCACAGAGAGAGAGAGAGGCCCUCGGAAGUGAAGGAAGAAAAUGGAAACAACUGGUGGAACACAGGAGCCAUGCUGCUUAAAACAAAACAUUUCAAAGGGAGGAGGCUUUGUGUCUAGUUAUAACUGUGUAGUUGGAAUGUUUGCCUUGGAGGCAGAUGAGGAGAGGGGAGAGAGAAGGAAACAAGGUUAGAAACGGCUAAAAUGUCACGAGGAAACAAACUGAUUGACAGCAGACUGUCCAUUGGUCUAAUCUGGGAUUCAGUAACAUCUCAGGUCAUGACUGUCAUGAGGAUCAGUCUGUUACUUUAACAACAUUUACCAUAUAACAUAAAGUAAUACUUCAUAUUGGGAAAUACUGUAGAUUCUAAUGCAGUGAGAUGCAUAAUUACUAUACAAUACGCAUAGAAUGUGGAUAUGCAUGAACGCGCGUCACAAUGGUCAAAUGAAAACACAAUUUGAGACACCUGUCAAACAGGUUAUUAUUGACACAGCAGCUCUACUGUACAGUUACCUAGCAAAAUAGUGUACAAGUGAUUGCUAAUUAACUGUAAACUAUUUUAGCUGGCUAACUAAGGAUCUUGACUAACUGUGAGGCAAAACAAUUCACUUAUUUACUGUUAAUUAGCAACCACAGCUGUCUAUGCUUGCAAGCGCGACAGUGUCUCCAAAGCAGCAAGGUGUCUACAGCAAUGUUUACUUUUUGACAUUCUAUGAGAACUCCACUUUCCAAGUGUAUUAUUAGGUAAUAAGAGAUUUAACCGUGGGCUGUAUAAUAAAUCAUUACCUAAUUGCUUAAUGCUACCUAGAAAUGUAAUCAAUUACGUACUAUUGUGUACUUAAAUUGUACUUAAACUUUUACUUAAGAAAAAUCACCUGUAUCAGAGGAUUAGUAGUGUGGCGUACCACUCACAGACAGCCAUGAUAGGCUACUGAAAAUCACCAAGCGUUUGAUGAUGAUGGCACGCCCUUGAGGAUGAUAUUGACAUAUUACAAGCAAAACGGUUACCCAGGUAACCUUUAGGGAACCAACUUAUCUUAUGAAGUCCAGCCCGUUGCGUCUAGGUGUAUCUGGGGAGUAGGGUGAAGUUGCCCCUAGGUGCUAAUCUUUGGUCACUCGCAUUUCCCCUCUAAUGGUUAAGGUUAGGACCGAGGGAGUGGAAGCUGAUCUUUAUUUAGGGAAACUUUACACCAGAGCUUUAUCUGGAGAUGAAUAGGAAAAUAACCUGGAGAGGAAGUUUGCCCCAGGACAUACAUUGCGCAUUUCCUGCCUGCUUUGAUGCAGUAGAUGCAGCGUUUCUCCUCAGCUCUCAAUGUCAAACCAUUUUCUCUGCUGUCGUUUUUCCUCUGAACUCAAUAGCAAACCAUAUCAUCUGCUGUCGUUCCUCCUCUGAACUCAAUAUCAAACCAUUUCAUCUGCUGUCGUUGGUCCCCUCAGGACUCAAUGUCAAACCAUUUCCUAAGCUGUCGUUUCCCCUGAGGACUCAAUGUCAAACAAUUUCCCCUCCUCAGGACUCAAUGUCAAACCAUUUCCUCUGCUGUCGUUUCUCCUCAGAACCAAAUGUCAAAUAAUUUAAUCUGCUGUCGUUUCUCCUCAGGACUCAAUGUCAAACCAUUUCCCCUUCUCAGGACUCAAUGUCAAACCAUUUCCCCUUCUCAGGACUCAAUGUCAAACCAUUUCCCCUUCUCAGGACUCAAUGUCAAACCAUGUCCUCUGCUGUCGUUUCUCCUCAGAACCAAAUGUCAAACCAUUUCCCCUCCUCGGGACUCAAUGUCAAACCAUUUCCCCUCCUCGGGACUCAAUGUCAAACCAUGUCCUCUGCUGUCGUUUCUCCUCAGAACCAAAUGUCAAACCAUUUCCCCUCCUCGGGACUCAAUGUCAAAGCAUUUCCCCUCCUCGGGACUCAAUGUCAAACCAUGUCCUCUGCUGUCGUUUCUCCUCAGAACCAAAUGUCAAACCAUUUCCUCUGCUGUCGUUGGUCUCCUCAGGACUCAAUGUCAAACCAUUUAAUCUGGAUUUUAUCGUGACAGCGUAUAUCACUUCAGUAUGAACUCAUAUGAGCCCUCUAUAGCUGCACCACUUAUACAUAUUUCAAAUGAAUACCAUAAUUUCCGGACUAUUAAGCGCACCUGAAUAUAAGCCGCAUCCACUGAAUUUUUUUUUGAACAUAAAUAAGCCGCACAUGUCUAUAAGCCGCAGGUGCCUACCGGUACAUUGAGACAAAUUAACUUUACACAGGCUUUAACGAAACAUGGCUUGUAACAAAAAUAAAUAGGCUUUAACGAAACACAGCUUGUAACAAAAAUAAAUAGGCUUUAACGAAACACGGCUUGUAACAAAAAAUAAAAAAUUAGCAGUAAGCUUUACCGGUAGUUGUCUUUUUGCACUGAGUCAAUUCCUCACGCUGCUGUUUCCAACAUCUUAUCAUCGACUCCUUAAGACCAAGCUCCCGUGCAGCAGCUCUAUUUCCUUUUCCAACAGCCAGAUCAAUCACCAUCAACUUGAAAGCUGCAUCAUAUAUAUUUCUCCGUGUCUUUGCCAUGAUGAGGGUGACAAAAUGACUACCGUAAUCAGAAUGAUGGGAAGUUUGAGAGUGCUCGAUUUAAUCUAAACAGUAAACAAAAAAGUUGUUUGACCUUAACCCGUUCGGCAAUUUCAUUGGUCUAAUGAAAGCUUUAUGCCGCCAAAAAACUGAGCACGUCACAGAAUGUGUUUUUUUGGAGAGAAAAAAAUUGAAAGCGGGAAAAAUCCAUAUAUUAUCCGCGUCAUUGUUUAAGCCGCGAGGUUCAAAGCCUGGGAAAAAAGUUGCGGCUUAUAGUCCGGAAUUUAGGGUACCCUAAUGUCAACACCUUUGCAUCACACCAAAACUAACAACGUACUGUAAUUUCCUUCACUGAAAUGACUGGCAUCAUCCAUGACAAAACCAACAUCUAAAAGCCUCUCAGUCUCUUCAAACUGCCCAUAUCAUCAACAUCCACUUUAAUGAAAACCAUCAAUGUUCUCACCUGCAAAGCUACUGGUAUCUCUUCUCAUCUCCAAAAUAAUAUAUUUUUCAACAAGAAGCCAUUCUCACACUACUCUGCAUUAUUUUUAAGUAGUUCUUUGCAGUUCAAAAAACAGGUUUCUUUCCUCUUUAAUUAAGUGAUAAUUAAAAUAUAGGUGCGGCGGCUCAAAAUAAAAUAAAAUAAAAUUUUAUUGGUCACAUACACAUGGUUAGCAGAUGUUAAUGGGAGUGUAGCCAAAGCAGCGGCUACUCUUCCUGGGGUCCAGCAAAAUUAAGGCAGUUUAUACCAUUUUUUUUACAUUACAAUACAGUCACAGAUUUCACAACACACUAUGUGCCCUCAGGCCCCAACUCCACCACUACCACAUAUUUACAGUACUAAAUCCAUGUGUAUGUAUAGUGUGUAUGUUAUUGUGUGUGUGUGUGUGUGUGUGUGUGUGUAUGCAUGUGUCUGUGCCAAUGUUUGUGUUGCUUCACAGUCCCCGCUGUUCCAUAACGUGUUUUUAAAUCAAAUUUUACUGCUGGCGUGAAUUACUUGAUGUGGAAUAGAGUUCCAUGUAGCAGUCUGAUGGCCUUGAGAUAGAAGCUGUUUUUCAGUCUCUCGGUCCCAGCUUUGAUGCACCUGUACCGACCUUGCCUUAGUACAACAUUGUGGGGCAUUGUUUGCUCACAGCUCUUUUUGUGCAACCUUGAGUGAGAAUGUCAUUCCAGUUUAUGUACUUUGUU